GCCAUGUUGAUAAUGGACUGAACCUCUGAAAUUUGCUGGCAUUCAAGACUGGAUUUGGUGACUUAUUUCUAGCCAGGAGACUAUGGCAAAAGUCAGUACUUGAGCUCUGAGACACCAUUACUUCCUUGUUGCUCCUUUCUGGGGCUGCUAAUGCUGGGAUGUGCAGGUGACGGUGCUGUGAGGACAUUUGGGCUGUGCUACACAGCAGUCCAGACGAAAAGCAACCGAAGAACCAAGGCCUUCCACCUACAUACAAGUGUGUGAACCUUGGCUUGGAGGAAGUGGAUGUCUCCAGUCAACAACAGGACUGCAGCUAUAGAAGUGCCCUGGAGCGUGGGGCGGAUUUGGUGCUGAAAACUGAAUCAGGGACCUCUUAUAGGCUGUACACAUGCCACACCCACUGUAACUGGACCAUCUUCCCAAUCAUCACAUCUUCUGUUGUAGUGAUGUCUAUGAACUACGCAUUGCAGGGAACACCUGGAAACAGCAUCACACCACUCUCCCCUGCUGUAUUGUAAAAGCAAUGUCACCACGGCAUGGUACUGAGACUGGAG